rnacentral:rRNA from 1 species
AUGGCCACCCAAGGUGUAACCCUAGAGACCUUACCGAACAAAGUACCAUUAGACUUUCUGAAGAAAAUCACGAGUAACUUCUCCAAGGAGCUACAGCUUGGUGAAGGUGCCUUUGGGGAAGUUUAUAAGGGGAUUCUCGAUAGUGGUGAAUUGGUUGCUGUGAAGAAACUCGCAGAAAAUUCCCCUGUGCCACGUGAAACAAUAUUUGACAAUGAGCUUCAAAAUAUUAUGGUGCUCGAACAUGAAAAUAUUGUGAAGUUGGUAGCAUUCUGCCGGGAAGCACAAAACAGACUGGUGCAGAGCAAUGGAAGACACAUUAUUGCAGAAAUUAUUGAAACCUUACUCUGUUAUGAAUACUUGCCUAAGGGGGGCCUUGACAAGAGUCUUGUUGGUGAAUUUAGUAGCAUUGAAUGGGACAUACGCUUCAAGAUAAUAAAGGGGAUUUGUCAAGGAUGGCAACAUGACACCGAAGAUUGCCGACUUUGGAUUCUCCAGAAUAUUUGGCCAAGAACAAACCCGAAUGAACACACGAAGUGUUGUGGGAUCUGUGUAAGCUUCGCUCUCAUUAUAAUAAUAUAUCAAAUAUUUGAGGUACUAUUUAUUUUUACAUCUGCAGUAAUGCUGAUUAAUUUAUUUGUUAUUGCCAUUAGUGGAUACAUGGCCCCAGAGUAUCUAUAUAACGGUGAAAUCUCGGCCCGCUCCGACAUAUAUAGUUUAGGCCUGGUCAUAUUAGAGAUCUCCACAAGAGAGAAGAAUAGUUCCAGCACUAACCAGAAGCAUGCAAGGAAAUAUAUUGAUGAAGUAACAGAAAAAUGGAAACUAGAGACAAUAAUGUCCGAGUACGAGUUAGAAGAAGAUGAACUCAAUCAAGUAGAAGCCUGCAUCGAUAGUGCUCUGAAAUGUGUGGAGAUUGAUCAGAAGAACAGACCUACCAUUCAGGACAUUGUGAAAAAGCUCAGUAACCUUUAG